rnacentral:rRNA from 1 species
CACCUCUUUAUCGUUUGAGCAAUGGAGGGACGCAGAAGGAUAGAAGAAGCGUGCGAUUGGUUGUGCACGUCCAAGCAGUUAGGCUGAUAAGUAGGCAAAUCCGCUUAUCGUAAAGGCUGAGCUGUGAUGGGGAAGCUCCUUAUGGAGCGAAGUCUUUGAUUCCCCGCUGCCAAGAAAAGCUUCUAGCGAGAUAAAAGGUGCCUGUACCGCAAACCGACACAGGUAGGCGAGGAGAGAAUCCUAAGGUGUGCGAGAGAACUCUGGUUAAGGAACUCGGCAAAAUGACCCCGUAACUUCGGGAGAAGGGGUGCUUUCUUAACGGAAAGCCGCAGUGAAUAGGCCCAAGCGACUGUUUAGCAAAAACACAGCUCUCUGCGAAGCCGUAAGGCGAAGUAUAGGGGGUGACACCUGCCCGGUGCUGGAAGGUUAAGGAGAGGGGUUAGCGUAAGCGAAGCUCUGAACUGAAGCCCCAGUAAACGGCGGCCGUAACUAUAACGGUCCUAAGGUAGCGAAAUUCCUUGUCGGGUAAGUUCCGACCCGCACGAAAGGUGUAACGAUUUGGGCACUGUCUCAACCAGAGACUCGGUGAAAUUAUAGUACCUGUGAAGAUGCAGGUUACCCGCGACAGGACGGAAAGACCCCGUGGAGCUUUACUGUAGCCUGAUAUUGAAUUUUGGUACAGUUUGUACAGGAUAGGCGGGAGCCAUUGAAACCGGAGCGCUAGCUUCGGUGGAGGCGCUGGUGGGAUACCGCCCUGACUGUAUUGAAAUUCUAACCUACGGGUCUUAUCGACCCGGGAGACAGUGUCAGGUGGGCAGUUUGACUGGGGCGGUCGCCUCCUAAAGUGUAACGGAGGCGCCCAAAGGUUCCCUCAGAAUGGUUGGAAAUCAUUCGUAGAGUGCAAAGGCAUAAGGGAGCUUGACUGCGAGACCUACAAGUCGAGCAGGGACGAAAGUCGGGCUUAGUGAUCCGGUGGUUCCGCAUGGAAGGGCCAUCGCUCAACGGAUAAAAGCUACCCCGGGGAUAACAGGCUUAUCUCCCCCAAGAGUCCACAUCGACGGGGAGGUUUGGCACCUCGAUGUCGGCUCAUCGCAUCCUGGGGCUGUAGUCGGUCCCAAGGGUUGGGCUGUUCGCCCAUUAAAGCGGUACGCGAGCUGGGUUCAGAACGUCGUGAGACAGUUCGGUCCCUAUCCGUCGUGGGCGUAGGAAAUUUGAGAGGAGCUGUCCUUAGUACGAGAGGACCGGGAUGGACGCACCGCUGGUGUACCAGUUGUUCUGCCAAGGGCAUAGCUGGGUAGCUAUGUGCGGAAGGGAUAAGUGCUGAAAGCAUCUAAGCAUGAAGCCCCCCUCAAGAUGAGAUUUCCCAUAGCGUAAGCUAGUAAGAUCCCUGAAAGAUGAUCAGGUUGAUAGGUUCGAGGUGGAAGCAUGGUGACAUGUGGAGCUGACGAAUACUAAUAGAUCGAGGACUUAACCAU